rnacentral:tRNA from 1 species
GCCCACGUAGCUCAGCCGGCAGAGCAACCGCCUUGUAAGCGGUCGGUCGUCGGUUCGAGUCCGACCGUGGGCU